CAAAGUUGUCUUAUGUCCUUGAGAAUUUUAUAAGAAAAGUGUAUUAUGUAGUUAGCCAAACACAACAAUAUAUGUAUGUUAUGGGUUAGUUGGAAAGUUAAGUAAGCUAUAUAAGUAAUCAUGUAUUUUGCAAUUGUAAUAGGUUUUGAGUUCGAGUUAUCUUAAGGAUUAUUUGCAAGUUCUCGUUAAUAAGGUUCAAGUGGAUCAAAGGAUAAAUCCAAGUUGGAGUAAUUAGCUAGAGAUUUUGAGGUGAAGGUAGUGUAAUUUUGGUGAUAGUUAAUCCCUUUUGUGAACCAAGCUCUUGAACAAAUGUUUGAAAGUGUUAUUUUUUGUGUUGUGAAAUGGUCAAAUAUAGUUUGUAAAGAUGUAGUAUGUAAUAUGUUUUAGUUAUGAUCAUUUGACUAGUUUAUAUGAUUAGUCAAAUGAUAGUUGGCAUGUAAAAUUAUGUUUUAGUUAUGUUUGGUAAGUUGGAGGUAAAUUUUAGUUUGAAAAA